rnacentral:rRNA from 1 species
GACGUAGGAUGCAAGCGUUGUCCGGAUUUAUUGGGCGUAAAGAGUUCGUAGGCGGUUAGUUAAGUUUGGUGUUAAAUCCCGUGGCUCAACCACGGAGCUGCAUCGAAUACUGGCUAACUUGAGUGUGGUAGAGGCGAGUGGAAUUCCCAGUGUAGCGGUGAAAUGCAUAGAUAUUGGGAAGAACACCGGUGGCGUAGGCGACUCGCUGGGCCAUAACUGACGCUGAGGAACGAAAGCCAGGGGAGCGAAUGGG